AGCUCCAAUAGCGUAUAUUAAAGUUGUUGCAGUUAAAAAGCUCGUAGUUGGAUUUCUGGCAGGAUGACUUCGUCCUCAGUUGAGUGUACGGAGCCGUCUUACCAUCCUUCUGUUACCCAUUUAGUUCUUCUAUGAUCUACUUGGUGCUCAGAUAUUUUACCUUGAGAAAAUUAGAGUGUUUCAGGCAGGCUAGCGCCGGAAUACAUUAGCAUGGAAUAAUGGAAUAGGACUUUUGCCUCUUCUGUUGGUCUGAGGGGUUCGAGUAAU
rnacentral:rRNA from 1 species